CGGAACACGUGUGCAACCUGCCUUUAUCUGGGGGAUAGCCUUUCGAAAGGAAGAUUAAUACUCCAUAAUAUAUUGAACGGCAUCGUUUAAUAUUGAAAGCUCCGGCGGAUAGAGAUGGGCACGCGCAAGAUUAGCUAGUUGGUGAGGUAACGGCUCACCAAGGCGAUGAUCUUUAGGGGGCCUGAGAGGGUGAUCCCCCACACUGGUACUGAGACACGGACCAG
rnacentral:rRNA from 1 species